UGGGGAAUCUUGCACAAUGGGGGAAACCCUGAUGCAGCGACGCCGCGUGGGCGAAGAAGCCUUUCGGGGUGUAAAGCUCCUACGCCAGGGACGAUAAUGACGGUACCUGGAGAAGCAGCUGCGGCUAACUACGUGCCAGCAGCCGCGGUAAUACGUAGGCAGCAAGCGUUGUUCGGAAUUACUGGGCGUAAAGGGUGCGUAGGCGGCGCCUUAAGUUUGGUGUGAAAUCUCCCGGCUCAACCGGGAGGGUGCACUGAAAACUGGGGCGCUCGAGUGUGGGAGAGGAUAGCGGAAUUCCUGGUGUAGCGGUGAAAUGCGUAGAGAUCAGGAGGAACACCCGCGGUGUAGACGGCUUUCUGGACCAUGACUGACGCUGAGGCACGAAAGCGUGGGGAGCAAACA
rnacentral:rRNA from 1 species